AGAGUUUGAUCCUGGCUCAGGACGAACGCUGGCGGCGUGCCUAACACAUGCAAGUCGAGCGGAGUGUAGCAAUACACUUAGCGGCGGACGGGUGAGUAACACGUGGGUAACCUGCCCUAUAGAGGGGGAUAGCCAUCCGAAAGGAUGAUUAAUACCGCAUAACGCGGAAUCUGGGCAUCCAGAUUCCGACAAAGGAGUAA
rnacentral:rRNA from 1 species